UGCAAGUCGAACGCUGCGCUGGAGCUUGCUCCAAGGAUUGAUGGCGAACGGGUGAGUAACACGUGAGUAACCUGCCCUUGACUCUGGGAUAAGCGCUAGAAAUGGCGUCUAAUACCGGAUACGAGCUUCAGCCGAAUGGCUAGGAGUUGGAAAGAAUUUUGGUCAAGGAUGGACUCGCGGCCUAUCAGCUAGUUGGUGAGGUAAUGGCUCACCAAGGCGACGACGGGUAGCCGGCCUGAGAGGGUGACCGGCCACACUGGGACUGAGACACGGCCCAGACUCCUACGGGAGGCAGCAGUGGGGAAUAUUUGCACAA
rnacentral:rRNA from 1 species